rnacentral:lncRNA from 13 species
AAAUUCAGAAACAACACGAGCACACAGCCAUGUAUGCUUUCCAAAUACAUGGCUCUGCACACUCUAACACGCGCGCGCGCGCGCACACACUCACGGUUGGUUGGACUUCUUAGCCUGUGACACUACCCGGAAAUAGAAUACAGACCGGAAGCUACCAUUUUAACUCGAAGAACAUUAGCAGCCGUAGGCAUAGUCCAUAGACGGGGACACCUAAAAUUGACACGGGGCGGAAAAUAUUUGACCGAAGAAAAAUUAUGAAAAUACGACAAACACUCAAGAAAGGGCUAAUUUCGGUAAAUUCGAAGAGUUAACGAUUCAAGCAUCGAAACUACCGCUUCAAACAAGGGACAUAUCUGAAUUAGCAGGCCAACCCAGCGGAAAUAGUUUUUGUUAACGAGUCGAAAACAGCCCUCCUCGGCCGAUGGAGAGGCAGGCCUUUGAAAAUAUUUGUCCCUGGAUGAAGAAAAAUGGCUAUCUGACAUAAAUAAGUUUUCACGGCGUACCCCGCGCCAUUUUUAUCCUAUUUUUUUUUUUAUUUUAACGUUUUGACAGGCGAUUUUAAUGGUAAUUAUAAGGUUAGCUAGCUAAAAAAAAGACAGCUAUCAAGCUAUCUGUUAGCUUGGUAGCUAGGUUAGCUUAGCAGCCGCUACCUAUGCAACCAGGUUUUCAAACGACAUUUACAUGUAUUAGCUAACAACGACAUGAUUGAAAGACUCCUUUAUUCAGAUCCAAUUUAAUUUUUAUUGCUGCUUUGGUUGACAAUUCUACUCAACCACCUAUAAAAACAAAGUAAUGUUAGCCUGCUAACGUUGGUUAGCUAAUGACGAAUGCCGCGCUACUAAUUUUGGAAUUUCGCCACCACCUGCAAUUUUGGUGGGUUUUCAAGUUAGUCUAGCUAACUUAGCUACCCACCAGAAGAUCAAUGGAAGCAGACCCAUUCGUUUCUACUUGUAAACACGUUUUGGUCUUCAAUCAAGCAGAAAGUGCUACACCAGUCUCCAGCCCAUAUACAUCCCACCAAACCUGUUGUCUUCAAGAGUGUGGCAUCAACGGGCAGACAAAGAAGUGCAACGCCUGUUAAUCCUCCUCCACCCCAGCUGGAUGCUGACAGCUUCACAUUUUUGGUGAAAAACAAGACUACCACUGUACAAGAAGGACUCUACAAACACUACAUAGACUGCAUACUAUUUAUACGUUGUAUUUCAAAUUAGGAACAGCAUUUAUUUAAUAGGACCUUUACCUGCUCUUCUUGGUUUAAAGUGCAAGCACUAGGCAUUCAUCUGUAUAAGAGGGGAUAAGGGAUAGACAUUGGUAGCAGCGAGAGUCAUUCUAAGUUGUUCAAGAAACAUUACUUCCAGUAGCUGUGGCUAUUGAUGAUUAUUGGUGCGAUAUUGUACUUCAACAGUAGGGCGAGUGACCCAGGAAAAAC